AGAUUUUAUCAUAGUCGCUGUCAUAAUCCACAUCCUCUCCGAUCGGACUGACGUCAACGUUACAUUUUUUGAGCAAGGUAACCAAGUUUCCUCUUAUCAAUUACGGGUGAUUCAAAAUUUGAUUCGAUGAUAGAUAGAUUUCCCGAUUUUAUCACCCAUUAAAAUCUAAAUUAAACGAACGUCCCUAUAUUAUUUGUCACCAUUCACGAUGAAUCAAAAAUGUAUUUGAAAACAUUUUAUCUAUGACGAUUUAUUUCGUGUUCAAAAUCAGCAGACCGUUAUUUCUACUUUUCUCU